rnacentral:rRNA from 1 species
UACGGAGGGUGCAAGCGUUGUCCGGAUUUAUUGGGUUUAAAGGGUGCGUAGGCGGCCUUUUAAGUCAGUGGUGAAAGCCAACAGCUCAACUGUUGAACUGCCAUUGAUACUGAAAGGCUUGAGUACAGACGAGGUAGGCGGAAUUGAUGGUGUAGCGGUGAAAUGCAUAGAUACCAUCAAGAACACCGAUUGCGUAGGCAGCUUACUAGGCUGUAACUGACGCUGAGGCACGAAAGCGUGGGGAGCGAACAGG